rnacentral:rRNA from 1 species
CAUGCAAGUCGAACGAGCGAGAGAGAGCUUGCUUUCUCAAGCGAGUGGCGAACGGGUGAGUAACGCGUGAGGAACCUGCCUCAAAGAGGGGGACAACAGUUGGAAACGACUGCUAAUACCGCAUAAGCCCACGACCCGGCAUCGGGUAGAGGGAAAAGGAGCAAUCCGCUUUGAGAUGGCCUCGCGUCCGAUUAGCUAGUUGGUGAGGUAACGGCCCACCAAGGCGACGAUCGGUAGCCGGACUGAGAGGUUGAACGGCCACAUUGGGACUGAGACACGGCCCAGACUCCUACGGGAGGCAGCAGUGGGGAAUAUUGCACAAUGGGAGAAACCCUGAUGCAGCGACGCCGCGUGGAGGAAGAAGGUCUUCGGAUUGUAAACUCCUGUUGUUGAGGAAGAUAAUGACGGUACUCAACAAGGAAGUGACGGCUAACUACGUGCCAGCAGCCGCGGUAAAACGUAGGUCACAAGCGUUGUCCGGAAUUACUGGGUGUAAAGGGAGCGCAGGCGGGAAGACAAGUUGGAAGUGAAAUCCAUGGGCUCAACCCAUGAACUGCUUUCAAAACUGUUUUUCUUGAGUAGUGCAGAGGUAGGCGGAAUUCCCGGUGUAGCGGUGGAAUGCGUAGAUAUCGGGAGGAACACCA